GAUGAACGCUGGCGGCGUGCCUAAUACAUGCAAGUCGAGCGAACAGACGAGGAGCUUGUUCCUCUGACGUUAGCGGCGGACGGGUGAGUAACACGUGGAUAACCUACCUAUAAGACUGGGAUCACUUCGGGAAACCGGAGCUAAUACCGGAUAAUCUAUUGAACCGCAUGGUUCAAUAGUGAAAGACGGUUUUGCUGUCACUUAUAGAUGGAUCCGCGCCGCAUUAGCUAGUUGGUAAGGUAACGGCUUACCAAGGCAACGAUGCGUAGCCGACCUGAGAGGGUGAUCGGCCACACUGGAAGUGGGACGCGGUCCAGAGGCCUAAGGGAGGCAGCAGUAGCGAAUCGGGCGCAAUGGGCGAAAGCCUGACGGAGCGACGCCGCGUGAGGGAUGAAGGUGUUGGGAGCGUAAAGCUCUGCUAUUGGGGAAGAACAAAUGUGUACGGAACUAUGCACGGAUUGACGGUAACUAAUCAAGAAGCCACGGCUAACUACGUG
rnacentral:rRNA from 1 species